AACGAACGCUGGCGGCAUGCCUAACACAUGCAAGUCGAACGAGACCUUCGGGUCUAGUGGCGCACGGGUGCGUAACGCGUGGGAAUCUGCCCUUGGGUUCGGAAUAACAGUUAGAAAUGACUGCUAAUACCGGAUGAUGUCUUCGGACCAAAGAUUUAUCGCCCAAGGAUGAGCCCGCGUAAGAUUAGCUAGUUGGUGAGGUAAUGGCUCACCAAGGCGACGAUCUAGCUGGUCUGAGAGGAUGAUCAGCCACACUGGGACUGAGACACGGCCCAGACUCCUACGGGAGGCAGCAGUGGGGAAUAUUGGACAAUGGGCGAAAGCCUGAUCCAGCAAUGCCGCGUGAGUGAUGAAGGCCUUAGGGUUGUAAAGCUCUUUUACCAGGGAUGAUAAUGACAGUACCUGGAGAUAAGCUCCGGCUAACUCCGUGCCAGCCGCCGCGGUAAG
rnacentral:rRNA from 1 species